rnacentral:rRNA from 1 species
UACAGAGGUCUCAAGCGUUGUUCGGAUUCAUUGGGCGUAAAGGGUGCGUAGGCGGCGCGGUAAGUCGGGUGUGAAAUCUUGGAGCUUAACUCCGAAACUGCAUUCGAUACUGCCGUGCUUGAGGACUGGAGAGGAGACUGGAAUUUACGGUGUAGCGGUGAAAUGCGUAGAUAUCGUAAGGAAGACCAGUGGCGGAAGGCGGGUC